UUUUUUCAAAAAUUCACAUGGGUCAUUUGACCCACAUGAUCGUGUGGUAGCUCCGCCACUGGCUGCCAGGAAAGCCUUUAGGAAUUAGGAACUGUUGGCAUUGAAACUUAAAAGAAAACGACGAAGUUGGGUACCAUAUGGGAAGCACACGUACAUACGUUUCCAAGGCAAAAAGCAAUUCACGAGAUAGUUGUCGUCUUCUUAUUAUCCUCGACCGUAUCGAUUAACCAAAGUUUUAUAGUGUUCACUUUCAAUUGAUCUAAAUUCUAAGGUCAUGCAAGCUUUUUCUGUCUAUAAGGUUCUCAAACCUUUGUAAACGUUUAUUUUAAUUGAAAUUCUUAGUUUAAACAAAAAACUUAUAGUUGUUAAUAUAGUGACUAUAGUGACUAUAGUUGUCAAUUUAUUUUCUUUAAAAAAAAAUAAUAAUAUAGUGACUAUAAUAUAUUUGUUAUGAGAUGUACGUAACUUUAUUCUUAUUUUCAACCGUAUGAUAUAUGUGCUUUGUUUCCUUGGCAAGCGGAGAAUAAUAAAGAUAACGUAAAUUCUAACUCGAGCAUGUUUUAUUUGGUUUAUUUAAUUCAGAACUUAUAACAGAUUAUGGUGUUCACUUUUUAUCUUUUCUAAAUUUUUGUUUGGAGUACAAACUGUUUUAUGUUUUUGGACAAAUGACUAGCUAUGAUUUAAGGAUCUUAAUCUAGAUAGAUUCAUAUGCAUGGCAGCAUGGGUCUAAAUCUUCUCCAAAAACAUAUAUACAGAAUAUAAAAAGAAAAUCAAAUUUAUGUGUAUAUUACAUAAUUUAUGAACAUUAGCCUGUUAAAAAAAUUAUCUUGCACCAUGCACGUAUUUACGAAGAAGACAUAUGAUGCAGAAAAGGACAAAUCAUGAUUUUGUAAUGACAAUACACAUGUAAAAUAUAUUCUGUUUUUCCUUUAAUUGUUACGGUCUCAAAUCCUCAUAAUACGAUAUAUAUUACGAAUUUAAGGAGCAACAAUGAUCUAUGAUGGAACGGAUAUCAAAUCUAUACAGAGACAGCUAUAACUGAAGCAUCAGUGGCCCUACACCAAAGAGAAGAAAAAAUCUGAGUGGAAAUUGAACUUUCGAUGACGAUCGAACUCAGUUAAGCCGCCUGACACUUUUACUGGUCGAACCAAUAUGACAUUUUUCAUAAAGAAAACUUUCCAGCAGCAACGAGAGGCGAGAGCUAUCUGUAAUGAUAAUAAGUUUGUAUAUUUCAUUUUUGAAGUGGUGACGCUGCAGUAAACGUUCAACGAACUUUAGAAUAUGAAAUAUGAGAUUAUGCUGGAUUGGUGAAACAUUAACUCUUCAAAUGUUGCAUGAAAGUUCGGUACGUACUUUUUCUUUUAAAAUUGUUUUAGCUUGCAAUAAAACAUCUCACUCAGCCAGGUAAUUUUUAAUUAUUAAAAUAUAUAUGGUUGAUGAGGCCAUGAGGGUUGGCCAAGUUUCUUAUUAGAAUUUUUAUCCCACCAAAUAAUAGUUUGUAGUUUAAAACAAGAACGUUUAUGUAACCCGUUUUAAAAUGGCAUUAUACUAAUGUGAACUCAAUAACAUGCUAUCAGUUGACCCUCCAAAAAAAUUUACAACAUGCUAUUAAUUAUCAUAUAACUUACACGGCAUGUGUUUCCUUAACACACUAUUUUUUCUAAUAGAUUAUAGAUCAAAUCAUUCUCAACAAAUGAUUUGUAAUUUUGAACAAAUUAUGUGUAUACUAUAUGCUACAUAAUUUAUUUUUAGGAAACGUUUAAAUUAUACUAAAUAUAAUAUCUAUUACAAUAAAGUUGACAAGUCUCACUUCUCAUGAAGUCACCUCAACGAAGAGAGUUCCAAAACGCGACACCUGUCAUCUUAUUAUUUAUUCAUCUCAAGUUUUUGUUUAUGUUAAUGGACCAAGUGUUCUAUUUAGUAAGUUAUUGGGCUUUUAUAAUAGACCAAGGGUUUUCACCCUUUAAACGUUGGAGAUGCAGAGCAGAGCCGCAAGAUCACAACGCCUCGGAACGACGCCUCGGAAAAACUCCUCUGUAACGGCUGCAAUUUUAUUUAUUUGCUACUUCAAUUCACCAUUUAAGUUUCUCAGUUACGCCAUUAAAUCUACUCUUUCCACUAUGUCGUAUUCAAUAUCCCUACUCUUUCUCAAUAGUUACUAAGGAAAUUUGUAUCUAUAAAUAAGGAUGUAUUCCUCCUUGAAACUCAAUCCUCCUGCUACUCUGAAACAGCCACCUUAAACCUUUUCUUAUCCGACUUGAAAGCCAAUUGUUGUGCCAACACCGUUGAAGCCUGACUUUUUAGGGUUUACCUGCUCGUCAUCAGAGAAGAUAAUUCCGAUGAACAAAUGACAUUUAUGGUUUUUCAGAAACAGCCUAAGCUUAUCCACGGCUCUGUGAACACGCACAUGCUUAACACCUUCAAACACAUGUGAGGGUUCAAUCUUCUCGAUUAAAAGGUUUGACAUCACACAGAUUAACAAUAACUCUGUGACUCACAUCUUUCCAUAAGCUUCAGUGACUUACUGCUUUUGUUGAGAUACUUUAUCAUGAAGAUCAUUUUUGAAGGUUAAGAUCCGAUGUAUUUAUUUGUACAAAGACAGAGAUUGGUGAAGCUUGAAGGAAAAUUAAGAGAA